UCCCCGGUGGCGCAAUUGGCUAGCGCGUCAGACUGUUAUGUACACAUAUCAUCUGGAGGCUGAAAGUUCGACCCUUUCCCGGGGAG